GUUGGGCACUCUAAGGGGACUGCCGGUGAUAAGCCGAGAGGAAGGUGGGGAUGACGUCAAGUCCUCAUGGCCCUUACGGGCUGGGCUACACACGUGCUACAAUGGUGGUGACAGUGGGCAGCGAGACAGCGAUGUCGAGCUAAUCUCCAAAAGCCAUCUCAGUUCGGAUUGCACUCUGCAACUCGAGUGCAUGAAGUUGGAAUCGCUAGUAAUCGCGGAUCAGCAUGCCGCGGUGAAUACGUUCCCGGGCCUUGUACACACCGCCCGUCACACCAUGGGAGUUGGUUUUACCCGAAGGUAGUGCGCUAACCGCAAGGAGGCAGCUAACCACGGUAGGGUCAGCGACUGGGGUGAAGUCGUAACAAGGUAGCCGUAGGGGAACCUGCGGCUGGAUCACCUCCUUU
rnacentral:rRNA from 1 species